rnacentral:rRNA from 1 species
CAGAACGAACGCUGGCGGCAUGCCUAAUACAUGCAAGUCGAACGAACUCUUCGGAGUUAGUGGCGCACGGGUGCGUAACGCGUGGGAAUCUGCCCCUUGGUUCGGAAUAACAGUUGGAAACGACUGCUAAUACCGGAUGAUGACGAAAGUCCAAAGAUUUAUCGCCAAGGGAUGAGCCCGCGUAGGAUUAGCUAGUUGGUGAGGUAAAGGCUCACCAAGGCAACGAUCCUUAGCUGGUCUGAGAGGAUGAUCAGCCACACUGGGACUGAGACACGGCCCAGACUCCUACGGGAGGCAGCAGUAGGGAAUAUUGGACAAUGGGCGAAAGCCUGAUCCAGCAAUGCCGCGUGAGUGAUGAAGGCCUU